CUUUUCUCUUUGUUUUCUUCAUGAACAUGUCCACCCCUAUAUGGUGAUAACUUCUUCUCCAUUCAUAGAUCACUAUGCUUCAAGAGAAGUUGCAGCAAAGAACUAUGGUUAGUGGUGGCAAUGAGGGGUAGAGGGGACCGGUUCAACGGGAUAUUGGUCCGGUUCAAUAAGAAAGCAAUGCUCAAAGAGUGUUAGGGUCCUGUUUUUUCAUUGAGCCGUGCCAAUAUCACGAGCCACUGCUCUUCACACCCCUGAAUGAUGCUUCUUCUCUUUGCACUCUUAGACAUGUAUGCAAUAUGCAGG
rnacentral:sRNA from 1 species